rnacentral:rRNA from 1 species
AGCCAUUAGAUGAUACUAUAUGGUUUUACCUGCCCAAUGUUACGAUGAAUGGCCGCGGUACCCUGACCGUGCUAAGGUAGCGUAAUCAGUUGACCUUUAAAUGAGGUCAGGAAUGAAUGGAAUAACCGGGUUUAGCUGUCUCCAAAUCAUUAUAUUGAAUUUACUAUCUAAGUGAAAAAGCUUAGGACUUAAAAAAGGAGGAGAAGACCCUUAGAAUUUUUUUAAAAAGGAUUUUAAUUUCCUUACAGUUUUAUUGGGGCGAUAAAGAAAUAAUUAAAACUUUCUUUUUUAACAAGCCGAUUGUAUUAAGUAAGAAUAAAUUACCUGAGGGAUAACAGCAUAAUUCUAUAAUUGAGUUUGUGACCUCGAUGUUGGACUAGGAAACCAGUAGGCUAGCCGUUUACUGUGUUAGGUUCUGUUCGAACUUUUAUUCCU